rnacentral:rRNA from 1 species
CCUACGGGGGGCAGCAGUGAGGAAUAUUGGUCAAUGGGCGUAAGCCUGAACCAGCCAAGCCGCGUGAGGGAUGAAGGUUCUAUGGAUCGUAAACUUCUUUUAUAAGGGAAUAAAGUGUGGGACGUGUCCUAUUUUGUAUGUACCUUAUGAAUAAGGAUCGGCUAACUCCGUGCCAGCAGCCGCGGUAAUACGGAGGAUCCGAGCGUUAUCCGGAUUUAUUGGGUUUAAAGGGUGCGUAGGCGGGCGUGUAAGUCAGCGGUGAAAGUCUGUGGCUCAACCAGAGAAUUGCCGUUGAAACUGGGGGGCUUGAGUAUAUUUGAGGCAGGCGGAAUGCGUGGUGUAGCGGUGAAAUGCUUAGAUAUCACGAAGAACCCCGAUUGCGAAGGCAGCCUACCAAGCCAUGACUGACGCUGAUGCACGAAAGCGUGGGGAUCAAACAGGAUUAGAUACCCUAGUAGUC